AUAAAACAUCGGGAGUGUGGUGAACGUUUUAGGCUUAGAAAGGCAACGGAUACAGUAAAUCACAUGGUGUGUGCAUGUUGGAGCAGGAAUCCCCAGCGCCGCACUCCCAACACCGAGUUCACCUUGGGACGGUUCCCCAUAGCAUCUCCCAGAGCUUUGUAAGGUGCCUCCUAUGAUUCAUUGUGGAUUUCAUCUCACAUGGGUUGCAUGAUGGCUGAUAGUGGAAAGCAAUAGAUGCAUUGCUCCUUCCAGCUCUGAUUCUGGAUGUUGUUUGCUCUCUCUGAUGUUUACACAGGGAACCUACGCCCUAAGGCAGGAGCAGUGUGGUAUCUUUGCUCAGCAGUCAAUGGUGGCACACUUGACACUGAAGCCAGAAAGAGUCAGGCAUGGGGACUAGAAAAGCUGCUGGCUCAAAACCAUUGGUGUAUUCCCUAAAGAGGAAUCAACUGCCAAGGAUUUGCCAGGUGCUGGUUCUGCCUCCCACUUUAUCCUAAAGGCCAGGAGCUAAUGCCAUUUUCUUGACGGAGAUGUAUUUCACUUCAGCUUGAAUCAUUGCUGCUCAUUCUACCACAGUUGUGGAAGGCAGAGCUAAUACAAACAAGCUUAGAUUGAAACAUCACUUCUAUGGCAGCACUUGGAAAGCUUUCCUUUCUGUUGCUCCUUCAAGCAACAUCUACUUCUUGUAUUGCAUGUGUUGAAAUAUUGUUUGAACAGCCAAAGGAGACUUGGUUUUCUGUCAAGGUCUCUUUGCUGACGCUGCUGCUUAUUGUGACCCAGCUGUAGGCCAUGAGGACAGCAGCUCUACCACGUCAGAGGUUCCUAAGAACAUUUCUCAUGAGAAUCAUCAGCAUUUGCUGCCAAGAUACCCACAACUCUGAUGAUGCUUUUGUCGGCUGUUUUUGCUUCAAAGGAUACAGUGUCAUUGAAAGACUAAUGCACAGGAUCACAAUUCAUGUCACUUUUGGGGAAGACAGGGAAUCAUCAAGAGAAGACUGUGGGAUGCUAUUUUAAAGAUAAAGCUUUAUAUUCAAAUUCAUUUAGGUAGUUAAUGCAUGAAUGGAUGUGAUUUUUCAGCAGUUCAGCUGUAGAAGAUAAAAAUAGCAUUUUUUUUAAUUGAGGGAAUAUACUCAUUGAUUAUCAGUAGAAAAAAGAGGAAUAUAUUAAACUGCAGCAGGUGAACAUCAUACAAAGUUCUCUUGUUAAUAAGACCGCAUUGGUAGAUCUACAGACUUUACAUUACAGAGUGAUUAUUUCACUGUCUCAUCAGAACUGUAGAUCAAAACUGUGAAACUUCACAGCAUUACCUCUGAGGUGAAAUAGAACUACGCAAAGCAUGUUGGUGAAGCAGAAAAGAAGAUGCUAUUCAAGUUGACAGAAGAUUUAUAGCUUUGGAUCAAAUCCACCUUCCUUCAGUUUUAAACUGAAGUGCCAUUUUCUCAUUUCUGGGCUUUGGCUAAGUGUAUUGUAUUUCAGUUUAUCCAUGAAAAUGACCUGUUUUGUUUCUUCUAGACUUAGUCCAUAACAUGAUAUGCAUAACAGCACAAGUGCGUAAGUUGUCAAAACCAUGGCCCCUCCAAAUAAUAAUAAUAAUAAUAAUACAAAGAAACAAUGAUCAUUUAAAAACCACAGUUCUGGCACGAGGAUUUCAAACAACAAAAGUUCCUAAUACUUCUUGUUUCAGAGGUUGAUCACCCAUUCUGUAUGAAAAGUGCCUAAUUUCUCACACAAAUUGAUGUGGCCUCAGCUUUCAGCCUUUAUCAUACUUUCCUUGGCUGUUAAAAGACCUUCAGUUUUCUUUUCAUAAAUGCAUUUAUGCACUGUAGUCUGAUUCUGAAUUUUAUUUUUAAUGGCCUAAACCUGUUGAACUCUUUAAGUCCUCAUAAUAGGGUAUUUUCUACAGGACUUGAACAAUUCAGUGACUCUGUUUUUAAGAGCAGCGAUUUUUUCAAAUGUAUCUAGCUUUUUAAUGCAUUCAUCUUUGCUAUGGAGAAAAAUGAAGCCAUCACCCAUUUUUCCUACAUUUAUACAUCCUCAGUUUAUAUUAGCCCUUUUGCUGCAGCAUCGCAGUGGAAAUGUGUUCUAUUGCUUGCCCACUUUGACCCUAAAUCAUUUCAAAGUGGUUGCUUUUCAAGACGCUGUUUUAAAUAUAUUUCAAAAUGCUGUUCUGCUGUGUGCCCUAGGUUUCUAGGUCUGCAGUAGCCAAAACUUACGUCCAUUUUGUCUGAAAAGCGUGGCUUAUCAAACAAGAGAGAUCAUUCUGUACAUGCAUUCUGUCUUCAUUUAUAUGUGCCAACACUGGUGUUACACGUGAAUGUUAUCUACAAUACCUUCUAUUUUCAAAUUAUUAACUGAAAUAGUAAUCGGAUUUAAGCUUCAUGCUAAUGUAAUCAGAUACAUCCCCACUCGAUGAAGAUUAUUUAUCACCAAGUGUUUGAGAUGUCUGCUUUAGGAACAAGUUACAUACUUUAAUUUCUUUGCAUGUAUACAUUUAAUCCCAAUACAUCUGCUACUGCUUCUGCAUUCCUGGAUGCUCCUUGUCCCUCCCUGACAUGUGCUUCCUGCC
ensembl:lncRNA